rnacentral:rRNA from 1 species
AUUGAACGCUGGCGGCAUGCUUUACACAUGCAAGUCGAACGGCAGCACGGGGGCAACCCUGGUGGCGAGUGGCGAACGGGUGAGUAAUGCAUCGGAACGUGCCCCGUCAUGGGGGAUAACACAUCGAAAGAUGUGCUAAUACCGCAUACGACCUGAGGGUGAAAGCGGGGGACCGCAAGGCCUCGCGCGAUGGGAGCGGCCGAUGUCUGAUUAGCUAGUUGGUGGGGUAAAGGCCUACCAAGGCGACGAUCAGUAGCUGGUCUGAGAGGACGACCAGCCACACUGGGACUGAGACACGGCCCAGACUCCUACGGGGGGCAGCAGUGGGGAAUUUUGGACAAUGGGGGCAACCCUGAUCCAGCCAUGCCGCGUGCGGGAAGAAGGCCUUCGGGUUGUAAACCGCUUUUGGCAGGAACGAAACGGUGCGGGCGAAUACCCUGUGCUAAUGACGGUACCUGCAGAAUAAGCACCGGCUAACUACGUGCCAGCCGCCGCGGUAACAC